rfam:Ailuropoda melanoleuca scaffold1998_27, whole genome shotgun sequence.
ACCUGGCUGGCUCAGUUGGUAGAGCAUCUGACUCUUGAUCUCAGGGUCAUGAAUUCAAGCCUCAUGCUGGGCA